UGAUGGCUGCCAGCGCUGUGAUGGGCGGCUUGGUGCUGCCACGUCUUUGGUCCCCGCCGGCUAGCCGGACGGCAUAGAAAGAAAGAGAUCAUUGGGCGCUUGGAGCGGGGGACAGGAGAAGAGGAACCAGACAUUUUUGGAAAAUUAUCAGCAGUGCUCACGUACAGGAAACAAGUGUUAAUAUCUCAGUCAUUGUAUAUUCAUUUUGGAUUUGUUGAAGAAAAAAGGCAAGUCCUACCAUUCCUAUGGCACACUCUUGACUAGAGAUGCCAGUGGAGUUCCUCUACCUCCAUCCAAGGCUGGGAACAUAGGGAAAGACUCUUUUUUGUCAUUCCAGGAAACAGCUGAAGGAUUCUGUCCCCAUUUCCCCUGUGAAGUGAAGUCUGCUGGACUUACCUGCCAGAAUCUUCUGAAGAUGACUUUUGCUGAACACUGACCCACAGGGGUUUGAUGGAUUAUUGACAAUGAGACAAGCUGUCUUUUCAUCAAUCAGAGAUUCCAGUUGUUUCAGGUCAACUUUCCAAGACUUCUCUGGCUGGGGAGGAAUAAAACGUGAGACUAAGAUGAUUCUGAGAAAUUUAGGGGGAAUACUCACUUAACCCACCCACUUUCCAGACCUUUCUCUGCUAAGGUAAUCGUCAUAUAUAAUCACAGAGUAGUAAUUGAGCAUUUGAGCAUAAAAUAAACAAGUCAUUUACCAGUAAA